UCAUCAUAGAUUACACAGACUUCAUCAUAGCAGACUGGAGAGAUAUUCUGUUGUUGGCUUUGAAGAAGUAAGCUGCCAUGUUGUGAGGACCAUGUGGAUAGGACUUGAGGGUCACCUCUAGGAGCUCAGACCAAAACCCUGCUAACAGCCAUUGAGAAAACAGAGAUGACUUCACUUCUACAACUAUGAGGAACUUUUAAUUCUGCUAACAAGCAGUGAGCCUGGAAGAGGACCACAAACCUCAAAUAAGAUUGUAGCCCCAAUUGAUACCCUGUAAAGAGUAAGUAAAG
rnacentral:lncRNA from 1 species